UACGGAGGGUGCAAGCGUUAUCCGGAUUCACUGGGUUUAAAGGGUGCGUAGGUGGGUUGGUAAGUCAGUGGUGAAAUCUCCGAGCUUAACUUGGAAACUGCCAUUGAUACUAUCAGUCUUGAAUACCGUGGAGGUCAGCGGAAUAUGUCAUGUAGCGGUGAAAUGCUUAGAUAUGACAUAGAACACCAAUUGCGAAGGCAGCUAGCUACACGAAUAUUGACACUGAGGCACGAAAGCGUGGGGAUCAAACAGG
rnacentral:rRNA from 1 species